GACCUGCGGAGGAUCAUUAAAAAAUAUCACUUGAUUGAAAGUGAUUUAAUAAUCAUCCUACCCUUUGUGAAUUUGUUGUUUGUAAUAAUUUUUUUUGAUUUUAAAAAAAAAAUUAUUUAUGGUUUUGUCUAUCCCUAAAAUUGGUUUGUUGUGAAAUGAAUCAAAUUUAGGGAAUAGGCUUUCAUAAAUAAGUUUUUUUUUUAAAGUCUUAAAGACCUUUUUUUAAAAUUAAACUUUUGUAUUCAUUUGUCUAAAAUUUUUUUUAAAUAAUUUAAAAACAACUUUUGACAAUGGAUCUCUUGGUUCUCGCAACGAUGAAGAACGCAGCAAAAUGCGAUAAGUAAUGUGAAUUGCAGAAUACGUGAAUCAUCAAAUCUUCGAACGCAUAUUGCACUUUUUUAGUUUACUAAAAAAGUAUGUCUGUUUGAGUAUCAGUAAAAUAUUCUCAUAAAAACUUAUUGUUUUUAUGGUUAUGAGUGUUUUACAAUGAUAAACAAGUUGUUUCACUUUAAAUUCAUUUUAAUUUAAGACCAUUUUAUUUUGGUUUUAAUUAUUAAAAUUGGAUAAAAUUUUCCCGUAAAAAGGAAUAAAACUUUUCAGUUUUAAUUUAUUAAUAAUCAAAUUUGGUCCAAAAUUUAAAAGGAAAUUAAUUAAAUAACUUGAUCUCAAAUCAGAUAAGAGUACCCGCUGAACUUAAGCAUAUCAAUAAGCGGAGGA
rnacentral:rRNA from 1 species